rnacentral:tRNA from 1 species
GGAGAGGUGCCUGAGUGGUUGAAAGGAGCGGUCUCGAAAACCGUCGUCGCCUUACGGUGACCGAGAGUUCGAAUCUCUCCCUCUCCG